GGAGAGAUGGCAGAGUGGUCGAUUGCGGCGGUCUUGAAAACCGUUGAACUGAAAGGUUCCGUGGGUUCAAAUCCUACUCUCUCCG
rnacentral:tRNA from 1 species